rnacentral:rRNA from 1 species
AUUGAACGCUGGCGGCAUGCUUUACACAUGCAAGUCGAACGGUAACAGGCCGCAAGGUGCUGACGAGUGGCGAACGGGUGAGUAAUGCAUCGGAACGUGCCCAGUCGUGGGGGAUAACGCAGCGAAAGCUGCGCUAAUACCGCAUACGAUCUAUGGAUGAAAGCGGGGGACCGUAAGGCCUCGCGCGAUUGGAGCGGCCGAUGUCAGAUUAGGUAGUUGGUGGGGUAAAGGCUCACCAAGCCAACGAUCUGUAGCUGGUCUGAGAGGACGACCAGCCACACUGGGACUGAGAAACGGCACAGACUCCUACGGGAGGCAGCAGUGGGGAAUUUUGGACAAUGGGCGCAAGCCUGAUCCAGCAAUGCCGCGUGCAGGAAGAAGGCCUUCGGGUUGUAAACUGCUUUUGUCAGGGAAGAAAUCUUCUGGGUUAAUACCUCGGGAGGAUGACGGUACCUGAAGAAUAAGCACCGGCUAACUACGUGCCAGCCGCCGCCGUAAAAC